rnacentral:rRNA from 1 species
AUGUGGCCGUGGCUGGAGAAGAUUGCGUCCGCGUGCUGGGACCGGGUCCGGAGGUACGCGCCUACGAGUACGAGGAGGGAUGAGGACGGCGGCAGCGGCAGCGGCGCCGACGCCGACGACCUGCUGCUCUGGUCGCGGGACCUCGGGCGCCACGCGGCGGGGGACUUCUCCUUCGCCGUCGUGCAGGCCAACGAGGUGCUGGAGGACUACAGCCAGGUCGAGACCGGCGCCGCCGCCACCUUCGUCGGCGUCUACGACGGCCACGGCGGCGCCGAGGCCUCCCGCUUCAUAUCCAACCACCUCUCCGCGCACCUCGUCCGUCUUGCCCAAGAAAGCGGAGCAGUAUCUGAGAAUGUUGUCCGAAAUGCCUUUUCUGCUACAGAGGAAGGCUUCCUGUCGCUUGUGCGCAGGACACACCUGAUAAAACCUUCUAUAGCUGCCAUCGGAUCUUGCUGUCUGGUUGGUGUCAUAUGGAGAAAAACACUGUACCUGGCCAAUCUUGGCGAUUCUCGGGCGGUUGUCGGCUGUUUAGUUGGAUCAAACAAGAUUGUUGCCGAGCAGCUAACGAGAGACCACAACGCAAGCAUCGAGGAAGUGAGGCAGGAGCUUAAAUCUCUUCAUCCUGAUGAUUCACAGAUUGUUGUCCUGAAAAAUGGUGUCUGGCGCAUCAAAGGCAUUAUACAGGUUUCAAGGUCUAUAGGUGAUGCAUAUUUAAAGAAGCAAGAAUUCGCUGUUGAUCCGUCCAUAACUCGAUUCCAUCUCUCCGAGCCUCUCCGACGGCCUGUUCUAACUUCCGAGCCAUCAAUAAGUACGAGACUUAUUCGUCCACAAGAUAGUUUUGUUAUCUUUGCGUCGGAUGGAUUGUGGGAGCACCUUACGAACCAGCAAGCCGUCGAAAUCGUGCACAACAAUUCACGUGAAGGUAUUGCAAGGAGGCUGAUCAAAGCAGCUUUGAAAGAAGCUGCACGGAAGAGGGAAAUGAGGUACAACGAUAUUACGAAACUAGAGAAAGGGGUCCGUCGAUUCUUCCAUGAUGACAUCACAGUUGUUGUAGUUUUCAUUGAUCAUGGGCUACUGCAGGAGGGGAAUGCUUCUGCUCCUGAACUUUCAGUUCGUGGCUUUGUUGAGUCAGGAGGCUCCUCCAGCUUUUCAGGGUUAAAUAGCAUUUCUUGA